rnacentral:rRNA from 1 species
UACGAAGGGGGCUAGCGUUGCUCGGAAUCACUGGGCGUAAAGCGCACGUAGGCGGGUUCUUAAGUCAGGGGUGAAAUCCUGGAGCUCAACUCCAGAACUGCCUUUGAUACUGGGAAUCUCGAGUCCGGGAGAGGUGAGUGGAACUGCGAGUGUAGAGGUGAAAUUCGUAGAUAUUCGCAAGAACACCAGUGGCGAAGGCGGCUCACUGGCCCGGUACUGACGCUGAGGCGCGAAAGCGUGGGGAGCGAACCGG